GUCUAUCUUGUUUGCUGUGUUAUAAUAAAAUAAUAAUAAUAAUAAUAAUAACCUGCUUUGAUUGAAGUCAAAAAUCAGAAACUCCUCAAAGCACAGCAGACAAAAAACCAGUACAAGAAAACUGCACUACAAACUAGAGCUGACAGCUGGCACAACAAAACACUGCAUGGAAAGUUCCUUGACAAAAUUGAAGGAAAAGCUGAUAAAGAGAAGACCUGGCUCUGGCUCACAAAUGGGACCCUGAAGAAGGAGACAGAAGGCCUGAUCCUUGCAGCCCAGGAGCAAGACAUCAGGACAAAGGCAAUUCAGGCCAAGAUCGAAAAAUCAGCUCAUGACCCAAAGUGCAGACUGUGCAAGGAAACCGAUGAAACCAUGGAUCAUAUCCUCAGCUGCUGUAAGAAAAUUGCACAGACAGACUACAAACAGAGGCACAACUAUGUGGCCCAAAUGAUUCAUUGGAACCUAUGCCUCAAGUACCACCUCCCAGCAGUUAAGAACUGGUGGGAUCACAAACCUGCAAAGGUUGUGGAAAAUGAACACGCAAAGAUACUGUGGGACUUCCGCAUCCAGACUGACAAAGUUCUGGAACACAACACACCAGACAUCACAGUUGUGGAAAAGAACAAGGUUUGGAUCAUUGAUGUUGCCAUCCCAGGUGACAGUCGCAUUGACGAAAAACAACAGGAAAAACUCAGCUGCUAUCAGGACCUCAAGAUUAAACUUCAAAGACUCUGGCAGAAACGAGUGCAGGUGGUCCCGGUGGUGAUGGGCACACUGGGUGCCGUGCCAAAAGAUCUCAGCCGGCAUUUGGAAACAAUAGACAUUGACAAAAUUACGAUCUGUCAACUGCAAAAGGCCACCCGACUGGGAUCUGUGCACAUCAUCCGAAAAUACAUCACAUACCCUGUUUCCCCUAAAAUAAGACAUCCCCAGAAAAUAAGACCUAGUAGAGGUUUUGCUAAAUUGCUAAAUAUAAGGCCUCCCCCGAAAGUAAGACCUAGCAAAGUUUGUGUUAGGAAGCAUGCCUGCCAAACAGAACACCAGAGCAUGUAGGAUCGGUAAAUGUACAUACCAUAGAUGUACAUAACAUGUACACAAAUGUACAUAACAUGGAAAUAUUGGUAGUCACAAGAAGUUCUUGAUAGGAUUCACAGUUUGUCUGGUUAUGCUGGUUUGUGAUGACAACUACUGUACAGUAUAUAGUAAAUGUUCAUUUUUUGUUCAAUAAUAAAUGUGAAUUCUUCUUCAUGGAAAAAUAAGACAUCCCCUGAAAAUAAGACCUAGUGCAUCUUUGGGAGCAAAAAUUAAUAUAAGACACUGUCUUAUUUUCGGGGAAACACGGUAGUCCUAGACACUUGGGAAGUGUUCGACUUGUGAUUUUGUGAUACGAAAUCCAGCAUAUCUCUCUUUUUUGCUGUGUCAUACAAUAAAAUAAUAAUAAUAAUAACAACAACAACAACAACUUUAUUUUUAUAUCCCGCUCCCCAAGGGGAUACGGGGCGGCUCACAUGGGGACAAGCCCAGUAUCAUCAUACAUUAAAAUACAAUCGUAAAUUGUAAUUUAAAACGAUAUAAAACAAUAAAAACAACAUAACAGCAUAAAACAGCAUAAAAUUUUUCUACUUGACAGAUGCAACUGUCUUUCGGGCUGCUUAGGUCAACAGCAAGCUAGGCUAUUAAUGGUUGGCUAUGCUAAACCCGACCUGGACUUCGAUCUCAUGACUUCUCGGUCAGUAGUGAUUUAUUGCAACUGGCUACUAACCAAAUGCACCACAGCCCAUCAUCGAUUCCAUACCAUGGGCCAUCUUGGAGACUCGUGGCAUGGAUGACAAAAUUGUUGUCCAAAAAACUAGAAGGCUAAAGUAUACUUAUACUUAGGUAACUCCUCGUUGUCCAAGUAUGACGGACUUCCUAGUCUUGGCGAUGGAUACGUAGGUGGCUGUGGAGCUCUAUUCUUGACCCAUAUGCUCUUCCAAAGUGAAGGCAUCAAUUUGCAGGUGGAAAGUGGUCCCGGUCAGGGUUGCCUUCCUCUUGGUACGUUUCUCCCUUUUGCCCCCCAUUCGUGCCUCUUCAUACGAACGCUAAAUAGGUUGAGUUGCUGUGAUUUUUCUGGACUGUAUGGCCAUGUUCCUGACGUUUCACCCACAUCUAUGGCAGACAUC
rnacentral:lncRNA from 1 species